rnacentral:lncRNA from 1 species
AUGAACUCAUGAAGAGCAGAUACAAGAUAUGUUCGAAUUUUCCAACUAAAUGGACCAACUGACAUCAGAUGAAGCAGCACAUCCUUAAGACUGUAAAAUCCUAAAGCAUAAAAAUACCUUAGGACCAGGACAGAGAAAAAUAUUUGCUAACAAGAGGAAAAGGUAAAGAAAAACAAAGAAAGCAAUUCCUCAAUAUAUAAAUGAUUUGAUGCAGAGAAACAAUAUAGCUCACAAUCAUAACCCCACAUAGUUAGGGUUCAUCCAAACCAACAAUCACAACCUCAGAUUCCAAAUAAACAAAAAUCAAAGAGUGAUAGAACCAAAAAUUAUCUUAGCUGGAUCGAGAGAAACUAGGGCUCGAUCUGUGAGCAGAGGAAGGACUUUAGCGGUGUUGCGAUCUCCGACCAAGGGAGACGCGGCGGCGUCAAGCCAGGGCGGCGACCGGCGAUUUCAGACAGAGAAGCUAGGGCUCGACUUCUUCCCUUCAAUUGUGCGCUUCCAGUGAGGGAUUAGAGAGGGAAACCGAGACGAAGAGAAAAAGAGGGAAAGAACGGCGAAAAUCAGUCGCCAGAUUUUACAGAAGCGGCGCCGGAGUUUCAGAGAAUGAUACAUCAGCGGCGGCGGCUCGGACCGCUGCUGUUCGCAGAAGAGAAAGGGAUAAAGGGCCUCAGCGGCGAGGAUGGUGGCGAGGACGGCGGCGCGAACAGCUACGCGGCGGCGAGGACGGUGGAGAAUGGCGGCGAGGAUGGGGGCUGGCGGCGACAGUAGCCGCCUGGUUUGAAG